rnacentral:rRNA from 1 species
GACGAACGCUGGCGGCGUGCUUAACACAUGCAAGUCGAACGGAAAGGCCCUGCUUGCAGGGUACUCGAGUGGCGAACGGGUGAGUAACACGUGGGUGAUCUGCCCUGCACUUCGGGAUAAGCCUGGGAAACUGGGUCUAAUACCGGAUAGGAGCCAUUUUUAGUGUGAUGGUUGGAAAGUUUUUUCGGUGUAGGAUGAGCUCGCGGCCUAUCAGCUUGUUGGUGGGGUAAUGGCCUACCAAGGCGGCGACGGGUAGCCGGCCUGAGAGGGUGGACGGCCACAUUGGGACUGAGAUACGGCCCAGACUCCUACGGGAGGCAGCAGUGGGGAAUAUUGCACAAUGGGCGCAAGCCUGAUGCAGCUACGCCGCGUGGGGGAGGACGGCCUUCGGGUUGUAAACUCCUUUCGCUAGGGACGAAGCUUUUUGUGACGGUACCUAGAUAAGAAGCACCGGCUAACUACGUG